UGAAUUUAAGCGCUUGGGCGGUUGUCUGUUUUUUUAGUUAGAUUCUGUAAAUCUUUCUGUUAUCUAUCUGUUAUCUUUUUCGGCUUAUAUAUAGCCCUAGUGCGAAUUAGAAAGGGAUUCUUUUGGCAGAGAGAAACGUCGAGAGCUAUUCCACACCUUGGAGGAGGUUCCUUGGAUGCUUAGGUUCCAUUCAACCAAGUUUAGGGUUAUUUCUUCCAUUCUUUCAUUAUUUUCAUCUAGUUUCACCAUGAUUAUGGUGAACUAAACCUUUGUUGUUUGGGAACAAUGUAAUCUUUUGAAACUCUCAUAUAUUCAAAUUCUUAUUUAUUUCAUAUGCUUGUCAUAUACUUGUUUAUCAAUUGUUGGGUUCUCAUCUGUGUUCAAUGCUUUUAUUGUUUAACUCAUUCAGUAAAAGAUGUUUGUCUUUAUCGAUAUGGGGACGUACGGUAAUGUCAUGAACUGGUGGGAAAUUCCUUGAUUAUGCUAAUAUUGCCUAGGGAUAGAGGUAGGACGGUCAAUUGUAUUUGCUUCAGAUCGCAUUGCAUUAUUGGUUACUAGGGGAGGCUAGGGAUAGCAAGCCGGUAAUUAAUAAUAGGCUCUUUUCACCAAGGGAUUGGGUUAAGGGUAAAUAAGAAAGUGUGCAUGGAAAUUAGAUAAAUAAGUGAAGUAAAUAAGAAGAGUAGAUAUAUGAGAGUGGAUAAGAUGAAAUUGUAAACCACAACAACACCAUUCAUUCAUAGUUUCUCAAAACCAAUUGAAUCAACUGCAUUGCAUGUUUAUUUUUGUUCUUU
rnacentral:lncRNA from 1 species